AUUGAACGCUGGCGGCAGGCCUAACACAUGCAAGUCGAGCGAGCGGCGGACGGGUGAGUAAUGUAUGGGGACUGCCCGAUAGAUGGGGAUAACUACUGGAAACGGUAGCUAAUCCCGCAUACUAUCGGCUACCCCAUAUGGGAUUAGCUUGUAGGUGAGGUAAUGGCUCACCUAGGCGACGAUCCCUAGCUGGUCUGAGAGGAUGAUCCGCCACACUGGGACUGAGACACGGCCCAGACUCCUACGGAGGCAGCAGUAGGGAAUAUUGGACAAUGGGCGAAAGCCUGAUGCAGCCAUGCCGCGUGUAUGAAGAAGGCCCUAGGGUUGUAAAGUACUUUCGGUCGGGAGGCGGUACCGACAGAAGAAGCACCGGCUAACUCCGUGCCAGCAGCCGCGGUAAUAC
rnacentral:rRNA from 1 species